rnacentral:lncRNA from 10 species
AUCUCCUAUGGUUUUAAUUCAUUUAUAUCAAUUGCUGUAUAGUAUUCCAUUGUAUGAAUAUACCUUAGUUUGUUUAUCCAUAUUCAACUGUUGGUGAAUAUUCAAGUUGUUUCCAGUUUUUGGCUGUUAAUGACAUUCUACUAAAGAACUUUCUUAAGAGUGUAUCCCACUGAUCGACAUGUGCAUAUGUUUCUCUAGGGUCUGUACCUCAACGUUGAAUUUCUGGAACACAGGGUAGGCAAAUCUUUGAUUUGUAAUGCCAAACUGUUAUUCAAAGUGGCUGUACUAGUUUACCUUCCUAGCAGUAGUGUAUGAAAGUUCCCAUUUGUCCAGGUGCUCACCAACACUUGAUAUUGUCAGACUUUUAGCUUUUACGGUGAGGGAAUAAUGUUAUUUCAUAGUGGUUUUAAUUUGUAUUUCCCUGAUUAGUAAUGGAGUCAAGCAUCAGUUUAUACAUUUGUUAGCCAUUUGGUUUUUCCUUUAUGGAAAGUGCCGUUCAAAUAUUUUGUCUGUUUUUCUAAUGGGUCAUCUUUUUGUUAUUGAUUUGUAUUAGUUCCUUAUACAUUCUGGAUACUAGCCCUUUGUAAGUUGCAUGUAUUUUAAAUAUCUUCUCCCACUCCGUGGGCUUUUUACCCUCUUUAUCAUAUAUCUUGUGAACAGAAGUUUUUAAUGUUAAUAUAAUUAUCAUUUUACCUUUCACAUUUAGAUCUAUAACCCAUCUGGAAUUUAAUUUUUAUGUAUACUGUGUGAUAGGGAUCCUUUUUUUUUUUUUUUUCUGAGACGGAGUCUCAACCUGUUGCCCAGGCUGGAGUGCAAUGGCGUGAUCUCAGCUCACUGCAACCUUCACCUCCCAGGUUCAAGCGAUUCUCCUGCCUCAGCCUCCUGAAUAGCCGGGAUUACAUGCGCCUGCCACCACACCCAGCUAAUUUUUGUAUUUUUAGUAGAGAUGGGGUUUCACCACGUUGGCCAGGCUGGUCUCAAACUCCUGACCUCAGGUGAUCUGCCCACCUCGGCCUCCCAAAGUGCUGGAAUUACAUGCAUGAGCCACCACACCUGGCUCAUUUUUUUUUUUUUUUCUUUUUAGAGACAGGGUUUCACUCUGUCACCCAGAAUGGAGUGCAGUAGCAGUCAUAGCUCACUGUAACCUCAAACUUCUGGCUCAAAUUAACCUCCUACUUCAGCCUCCCAAAAUGCUGGAAUUACAGGUGUGAGCCACCAUGCCCAGCCAAAUUUCAUUUUUUAUCUACAUGCUUAUCCAGUUGUCUUGGCACCGUUUAUUGAAAAGUCUAGCCUUUCUUAACUAAUCUUCAGUGACACUUUUCUCAUAUAUCAAAUGUCCAUUUUUACAUGGGGAUCCAUUUCUGAGAUCUCUAUUUCAUUGUUUUUCUGUCUAUCCCUGUUCAGUGCCACACUGAAAUAAUAUAGCUUUCAAAAUCAGUCUUGGAUCUGGUAGAACAAGUCUUUCCACCUUGUUCUUCUUCAAGAGCCUCAUAGCUGUUUUUGCCCUUUGCAUUUUAGAAUCAGCUUUUUAAAUUACACACCUACAUAAACACACACACACAAACACACACACUCACUCAUUCACUCAACUGUUAGGAUUUUUAUUGGGAUUGUACUGAAUCCAUAAAUCAAUCUGAGAAGAAUUAACAUUUUUACAAUAUUGUGUCUCCUAAUCCUUCAAUGUAGUAUCUCUUCUUUUGUUUAAGUCUUUUCUAAGGUCUCUCAGUAAGAUUUUUUUUUUUUUUGAACAGAGUCUCGAUCUGUCACCAGGCUGGAGUGCAAUGGCGCGAUCUCGGCUCACCACAACCUCUGCCUCUCGGGUUCAAGCGAUUCUCCUGCCUCAGCCUCCCAAGUAGCUGAGAUUACAGGUGUGCGCCACCACGCCCAGCUAAUUCUGUAUUUUUAGUAGAGAUGGGGUUUCUCCAUGUUGGUCAGGCUGGACUUGAACUCCCAGCCUCAGGUGAUCCGCCCACCUCAGCCUCCCAAAGUGUUGGGAUUGCAGGUGUGAGCCACCACACCUGGCUUCAGUAAGAUUUUAUAACAAUGUAUUUCAGCUCUUUCGGACCUUCAGUUCAACAUUUUCCUAAAUAUUUCAUAUUUUUGGUGCCAUUAUCAUUGUAUUUUUCAAAUUUCAUUUUGUACUUGUUAGUGGUAUAUAUAGGAUUACAACUGGUCCAUAUAUUGAUUUUACAAAAUUGUUAAAUUAUUAAUUUCAUAAUUUAUCUGUAAAUCUUCUGGAUUUUCAAUGUACACAUUAGAUCAUCUGUAAGUAAUGCAAUAUUUUAUAAUUCUUACAUAUUUUGUUGCUUUUUCUUGUUUAACUGCAUUUGCUAGAUCUUCUGUACAAUGUCAAAUAGACAGUGAUAGUGAAUAUCCUUGUCUUAUUACUGAUUUCAGAGAGAAAGCUUACAACAUUUUACCAUAAAUAUGAUAUUUACUAUAAAUAUUUUGUAUAUACUCUUAUCAGAUUAAAGAAGUUUCCUCCUGUUCCUAGUUUUCUUUUCUUUUUUUUCUUUUUUUUUUUUUGAGACGGAGUCUGGCUCUGUCCCCCAGGCUGGAGUGCAAUGGCGUGAUCUUGGUUCAUUGCAACCUACACCUCCCGGGUUCAAACGACUCUCCCACCUCAGCCUCCCAAGUAGCUGGGGUUACAGGAACCCACUACCAAGCCUGGCUAAUUUUUGUAUUUUUGUAGAGAUGGGGUUUCACCAUGUUGGCCAGGCUGGUCUUGAACCCCUGACGUCAAGUGAUGCGCCCACCUCGGCCUCCCAAAGUGCUGGGAUUACAGGUGUAAGCCACCACACCUGGCCCUGUUCCUAGUUUUCUUGGAAUUUUAAUCAUGAAUGGACAUUGAAUUUUAUCAGAUGCAUUUUUGUCUUUAUUGAAAUGAUCCCAUCAUUUUUCUUCUUAAAUUGCUAGUGUGGUAAAUUACAUUAAUUUUUCAAUGUUAAGCCAGCCUUGAAAUCCCAGAUAAAUCCAGUUUAUAUUAUUAUUUUUCUACGGUGAUUUGGUUUGCUGAUUUGUUUUUCUGUUUUUUCAUCUAAGCUCACGAAUGAGACUGGCCUGCAUUUUCCUUUCUCUUAUUGUUCUUGUUAAGUUUUGCUAGUGUUGUGGAUGAAUUGGAAAGUGUCUCUGAAAAAGUUUGUGUGAAAUUAGAGUUACUUAUUCUUAAAUGCUUAAUUGUAUAACUGAAGAAACCAUCUGGGCUUGGAAUUUUCUUUGUGGGAAUAUUUUGUUUGUUUGUUUUUGAGAAAGAGUCUCACUCUGUCACCCAGGCUGGAGUGCAGUGUCGUGAUCUCGGCUCACUGCAACCUCUGUCUCCCAGAUUCAAGCAAUUUUCAUGCCUCAGCCUCCUAAGUAGCUGGGAUUACAGGCAUGCGCCAUCAUGCCCAGCUAAUUUUUGUAUUUUUAGUAGACACGGGCUUCACCAUGUUGCCCAGAUUGGUCUCGAAUUCUUGACCUCAAGUGAUCCACCCACCUCAGUCUCCCAAAGUGCUAGGAUUACAGGUGUGAGCCACCGUGCUUGGCCAAUAUUUUGUUCUUGAUAGAGUAUCCUUUGUUCUUAGAGGAUUAUUCAUGUUUUCUGGUUUUUCUUGUUGUUGUUGUUGUUGUUGUUUUUUGAGACAGAGUCUCGCUCUGUCGCUCAGGGUGGAGUGCAGUGGCACAAUCUCUGCUCACUGCAAGCUCUGCUUCCCUGGUUCACACCAUUCUCCUGCCUCAGCCUCCUGAGUAGCUGGGACUACAGGUGCCUGCCACCAUGCCCGGCUAAUUUUUUGUAUUUUUAGUAGAGAUGGGGUUUCACCGUGUCAGCCAGGAUGGACUCGAUCUCCUGACCUCGUGAUCUGCCCACCUUGGCCUCCCGAAGUGCUGGGAUUACAGGCGUGAGCCACCGCGCCAGGCCCAUGUUUUCUAUUUUUUUCUGGGACAACUUUGGGAAAUUGUAUUUUUUUAGGAUAACACCCAUUUCACCUAAAAUUUCAAAUUUAUUGGCAUAAAGUCGUUUCUAAUAUCCUCCUGUCUUUUAAAUGCCUGUAACCUCUUCCUCACUCAGUACCAAGAGAGUCUUCCCUGCAGUCCCCUGGGGGUGGAGUAAGAACAGUAAGUUUACUGCUGAUUCACCCUAACACUUACAGUGUAGCCUUUGAGAUUAGUCUAAUAUGGUAGGGCAGGUUUCCUUGUACUAGACUCCCAAACUUGGAUAGGCCCUUGGCCUUGGCUUCUGGAGCCAUCAGUCCAGGAGGCUAGCCAAACCCAAACUUAGUUUGCCUGGAUUUGCAAAUAUCAAUCCCCCUUACCUGAGGCAAAAUUACUUUAAUGUUCUGAUAUUUCACUUACCUCUCUGGGUCUCUAGAAAGAAAGGGUAGGUCACAGAGUAACUUCACCUGCUAAUUUAUAUUUGGGAAAUGUUUGAAUGUUUUAUAACAAGCAUACAUUUCUUUAACUUUUAAUUACAGUUUCUUUAAAAAUAUCAAAUAGAACUAAAAAGCUGGCCAGGCGCGGUGGCUCACCGCUGUAAUCCCAGUACUUUGGGAGGCCGAGGGGGGUGGAUCACUGGAGCUCAGGAGUUCGAGACCAGCCUGGCCAACAAGGGUUAAACCCCAUCUCUACUAAAAAUACAAAAAUUAGCUGGGCAUCAUUGUGGGCACCUGUAAUCCCAGGUAUUCUGGAGACUGAGGCAGGAGAAUCGCUUGAACCCAGGAGGCAGAGGUUGCAGUGAGCCGAGAUCACGCCAUUGCACUCCAGCCUAGGCAACAAGCUGUCUCAAAAAUAAAUAAAUAAAUAAAUAAAUAAGUAAAUAAAUAAAUAAAUAAAUAAAAGCCUGAUGAUAAAAACAGCAAUCUCCUGUCUACCCCUCAGUCCCACACCUGCCAGCCUGCACUCCUUUCAUUGCUUUCUAGCUUCCAAAGAUGUGUUAAAGUUUCUUAUCUGCUGCUGCAUUCUUUCUAUCCUUGUAGGUUUAUACAAAGUUUUUCUAUUGCUUUACUGUCAUUUAGUGAGGCUUCAAAAGACAAAAUUAACAUGCACAACCUGCCACUUUUAAUCAGAAGUCCAUGUAUGAAAUCCAGGCU